CACGUAGGGCGCAAGCGUUGUCCGGAAUUAUUGGGCGUAAAGAGCUCGUAGGCGGUCUGUUACGUCUGCUGUGAAAACCCGGGGCUUAACCCUGGGCUUGCAGUGGAUACGGGCAGACUAGAGGCAGGUAGGGGAGAAUGGAAUUCCAGGUGUAGCGGUGAAAUGCGUAGAUAUCUGGAGGAACACCGGUGGCGAAGGCGGCAUCCUGGACCGGCACUGACGCUGAGGAGCGAAAGCCAGGGGAGCAAACGGG
rnacentral:rRNA from 1 species